GAGUGACCGCUGGCGGUAGGCCUACCCCAUGCAAGUCGAACGGCAGCACAGUAAGAGCUUGCUCUUACGGGUGGCGAGUGGCGGACGGGUGCGGAAUACAUCGGAAUCUACUUUUUCGUGGGGGAUAACGUAGGGAAACUUACGCUAAUACCGCAUACGACCUACGGGUGAAAGCAGGGGAUCUUCGGACCUUGCGCGAUUGAAUGAGCCGAUGUCGGAUUAGCUAGUUGGCGGGGUAAAGGCACACCAAGGCGACGAUCCGUAGCUGGUCUGAGAGGAUGAUUAGCCACACUGUAACUGAGACACGGUCCAGACUCCUACGGUAGGCCGCAGUGGGGAAUAUUGGACAAUGGGCGCAAGCCUGAUCCAGCCAUACCGCGUGGGUGAAGAAGGCCCUCUGGUUGGAAAGCCCUGUUGUUGUGAAAGAAAAGCAGCAGGUUAAUACCCCGCUGUUCUGACGGUACCCAAAGAAUAAGCACCGGCUAACUUCGUG
rnacentral:rRNA from 1 species